CCUCUCAAUCUAAACCCACCUCCCCCAAAUCAAUACAUGCAUUGUGUUUCUGUUUGAGAGGAUUGUGGCGAAGAAGUCAAGCCUGACGUAUUAUUGUGUCCAAUAUCUGUCGGGGCUAGAGUCCACAACGUUGCAUUUGUCUUGUUUGCCUUCCUCCGUACUGCACGCUAGCGCUGGAGUGUCCUAUUGUGCUGUGCGUCUGGUUGGCUGUUUGGGUUUUGAAAGCCAUUGUACUUUGGUGCUUAUCUUCAUGUAGCUCUGGCUAAUGUACAUUGUUGAUCACAGGAGGGAUGGUAUGAUUGCUGCUGUCCUUUUGUGAUGGUUGGAGUCAUUUUCUUGUUCCUUCCGCAAAUGGACAUCAAUUUGGAGGACUUCGAUAAAGAGGAAUAAAUUGAUUUUAAUGGCAUGAGGAUUUUUGGUUCCAAAGGAUUAUAGACCUAUGGAUCAAAUUGAGCUUCAUCAUAGGUUGUAGCCAAUCCUUAGAGGACCAGUAAGAACAAUACAAGGAGACACGCUUUCAUGCUCUGCCGGGUGCAGUAUUGUCAGGGUUACGCCGGAUAUAACCAAGCACUUAUUUGGCAAGAGUGAGCUGGUUUUCAACAAGGAUAACAGCAAUUGAUUUAGGAAUUACUACUGUUUACUACUUGAUUAUAUGAUCAUCAUCAUAAUCCAAUCUGGAAUCUCCUCUUUUGAACUUGGACCUUGUACUUGUACAUUGGAAAAGCCAAUCAUCCUAUCAUUGUGCAAAUAAGUGACUUUCUUUUUGUUACUUCCAAAGUCGGACUCGAGUCGGAUUUAUUCAAUAGACUCCUGGCGUCUACCAUAAUUU